rnacentral:rRNA from 1 species
UGAGGAAUAUUGGUCAAUGGGCGAGAGCCUGAACCAGCCAAGUAGCGUGCAGGAUGACGGCCCUAUGGGUUGUAAAAUGCUUUUAUGAGGGGAUAAAGUGCGUGACGUGACAUGCAUUGCAGGUACCACAUGAAUAAGGACCGGCUAAUUCCGUGCCAGCAGCCGCGGUAAUACGGAAGGUCCGGGCGUUAUCUGGAUUUAUUGGGUUUAAAGGGAGCGUAGGUUGUCUAUUAAGCGUGUUGUGAAAUAUACCGGCUCAACCGGUGGCUUGCAGCGCGAACUGGUCGACUUGAGUAUGCAGAAAGUAGGCGGAAUUCAUGGUGUAGCGGUGAAAUGCUUAGAUAUCAUGACGAACACCGAUUGCGCAAGCAGCUUACUGUAGCAUAACUGACGCUGAUGCUCGAAGGUGCGGGUAUCAAACAGG